UUUAUAUCAGAAUAAUGCUUGUGUGUAAAUGUGUGUGUGCUCACUAAGCAACAGACACAGAGGAAUAAAGGCAGAGCUACAGGGAGAGAGAGAAGCUCAUUAUAAUCAGCCAAUUAUGCUGGCAGAAUUAGAAGCGUCCUUAUUCUGUCUUAUGGCAGCAUGAGCGCGGAGACGUUUUUUAAAGCGACUGCAGACUAAUCCAUGGAUAUAACUGACUGUUCUGUGCAAAUAUGGAGCGUCUGUAGUUGUGUAUGACUACAAGAUUUGCAGCUUGAGGUUUUGGCUCAGCGGUGGUGAAAGACGAGAGCAGUUAUACAUGCCUACAACUCAGGACCAUGGAUGUACACAAUCAGUGUUUUUCAAACAGUGGAAUAUUAUUAUGUUGCAUGUAUUCUUUAAGACAUUGUAUUCAAUUUCAUGUGGUAUGGUAUGUGCACUGCUGCUGUUUUUGAUGUUGUUUGUGUAUGUAGGUGUGUGUGUGUGUGUGUGUGUGUGUGUGUGUGUGUGUCAUGUAUGCUUUAUUCCUAAAAUUGAAAGCAAUUUUUUUACAAAUCAGUACACAAAAAUAUUUUUUUAAUAAACUGAAUAUCAAAAUAGGACGUGUUCAAGAAAUAUUGUCAUUAAAAUGAAUGAUUUUUUUUCAUAUGAUCAAAUGUAUAAAAAAAUACAAUAAUAGCUUCACCUGUUUAUAAAAACACUUAAAUCCC